UAUAACUAUCUGUCUUUUAUUUUGAUUUUUCUGCCAAUUCAUUUGUUUUACACGUGUGCAUAAUGUUGUAGAGUAAACUGACUGCAAGUCAAGUUGGAUCCAUAGUUGGACUUCAGUCUGGUGAAAUUCAACAAAUAGCUACUGAAUUUGCUGGCAAGCAAGCAGAACUUGCAUCUGAAGAACUUGGAGAAAGAGGGUUAAGUGGCAUACAAUACCAUAAACGAACUGUUGUUGCAUUAUCAAAACAAAUUAAAGAAAAGGAAGAAAAAUUAGCUGAGGUACAAGCUCUCAAUGAAAGUCUUAAAAGCUCAUAUCAAGAAUCACAAUCAAGGUUAAAGGAACUGCAAAGCAUGCAUAGUGAUAUGAUGAAAGAAAUGAAGAUUUUGGAAGAAGCUGAAAAUGAUGACAACAAAAGUCUUUUAGAAACUCUUCGGUCACUCGUUGCCACAAAUGAAACACUUAAAAAACAAGAACAAGAAUUUCGAAAUCAUUGCAAAGAAGAACUUGCUAGAUUAAAAUCCCAAAUUGAGGAAUUGAAGGCAUCGUCUGAAGAAGGAUCUUCAGAAG